AUUGAACGCUGGCGGCAUGCUUUACACAUGCAAGUCGAACGGCAGCGCGGGCUUCGGCCUGGCGGCGAGUGGCGAACGGGUGAGUAAUGCAUCGGGACGUGCCCAGUAGUGGGGAUAGCCCGGCGAAAGCCGGAUUAAUACCGCAUACGACCUGAGGGUGAAAGCGGGGGACCGAAAGGCCUCGCGCUAUUGGAGCGGCCGAUGUCGGAUUAGCUAGUUGGUGGAGUAAAGGCUUACCAAGGCGACGAUCCGUAGCUGGUCUGAGAGGACGACCAGCCACACUGGGACUGAGACACGGCCCAGACUCCUACGGGAGGCAGCAGUGGGGAAUUUUGGACAAUGGGGGCAACCCUGAUCCAGCCAUGCCGCGUGCGGGAAGAAGGCCUUCGGGUUGUAAACCGCUUUUGUUCGGGAAGAAAUCCUCUGGGCUAAUACCCCGGGGGGAUGACGGUACCGGAAGAAUAAGCACCGGCUAACUACGUG
rnacentral:rRNA from 1 species